GACGAACGCUGGCGGCGUGCCUAAUACAUGCAAGUCGAACGAACUCUGGUAUUGAUUGGUGCUUGCAUCAUGAUUUACAUUUGAGUGAGUGGCGAACUGGUGAGUAACACGUGGGAAACCUGCCCAGAAGCGGGGGAUAACACCUGGAAACAGAUGCUAAUACCGCAUAACAACUUGGACCGCAUGGUCCGAGCUUGAAAGAUGGCUUCGGCUAUCCCUUUUGGAUGGUCCCGCGGCGUAUUAGCUAGAUGGUGGGGUAACGGCUCACCAUGGCAAUGAUACGUAGCCGACCUGAGAGGGUAAUCGGUCACAUUGGGACUGAGACACGGCCCAAACUCCUACGGGAGGCAGCAGUAGGGAAUCUUCCACAAUGGACGAAAGUCUGAUGGAGCAACGCCGCGUGAGUGGAGAAGGGUUUCGGCUCGUAAAACUCUGUUGUUAAAGAAGAACAUGUCUGAGAGUAACUGUUCAGGUAUUGACGGUAUUUAACCAGAAAGCCACGGCUAACUACGUGCCAGCCGCCGCGGUAA
rnacentral:rRNA from 1 species